rnacentral:rRNA from 1 species
GACGAAGGUGGCUAGCGUUGUUCGGUAUCACUGGGCUUAAAGCGUGUGCAGGCGGAGCGGUAUGCGCCUUGUGAAAUCCCUCGGCUUAACCGAGGAAUUGCUGGGCGAACUGCUGCUCUUGAGGCAGGUAGGGGUGCGCGGAACUGUUGGUGGAGCGGUGGAAUGCGUAGAUAUCAACAGGAACGCCGGUGGCGAAGGCGACGCACUGGGCCUGACCUGACGCUCAGACACGAAAGCGUGGGGAGCGAACGGGAUUAGAUACCCCCGUA